CCUACGGGUGGCUGCAGUGGGGAAUAUUGGACAAUGGGCGAAAGCCUGACCCAGCAACGCCGCGUGUAGGAAGAAGGCUUUCGGGUUGUAAACUACUUUUGACAGGGAAGAGCAGAAGACGGUACCUGUCGAAUCAGCCACGGCUAACUACGUGCCAGCGGCCGCGGUAAUACGUAGGCGGCAAGCGUUGUCCGGAUUAACGGGGAGUAAAGGGCGUGUAGCCGGGCUGACAAGUCAGAUGUGAAAUCCGGGGGCUCAACCCCCGAACUGCAUUUGAAACUGUUGGUCUUGAGUAUCGGAGAGGCAGGUGGAAUUCCUGGUGUAGCGGUGAAAUGCGUAGAUAUUAGGAGGAACACCAGUGGCGAAGGCGGCCUGCUGGACGACAACUGACGGUGAGGCGCGAAAGCGUGGGGAGCAAACAGGAUUAGAUACCCUUGUAGUC
rnacentral:rRNA from 1 species